GGUGUAGUCAGACUCGCAGGCACUGGGCUCUAGGAUACAGCGAAAGAUACGAUGAAGUUAUCCAGACUCAAGUUGUUGAAUGUUUCUUCUCCUCCUGGCUGACAGACAGGGUUAACCUCCUACCUCACUGGGCUUUGCAGCUUCGUAGCAAAGAUGUGUCAGGCUCACCGGUAGCUGUUACAUCCAUAGAUGCAUAAGAACUACAGAAGGACAAGUCUACUGCUCCACAUGUACCCAGGAGGAAAGGGGAAAAAACACACAGGUCUGAAGGACCCUGAUGGUCGGCAUGGCAGCAAAUGAUGUCCAGAUGGUGACGGCAUUUGCCAGCACUGAUGAGCAACACAACAUGCAGGCGAGUCAUUACUCUCAGUUCCCCAGCAGGAGGUGAACACUCUAUGACCAUACCAUACUUGGGAAGCUAGCAGCCACAGGUGAACCAGCAUGAAACCAAAGUACUCAGGGCUAUAAGCUUUUUAUCUUAUACAAACAUGAAGUUCACUUUAAUACAAAGGAGAGAAAAAUGA